UAAAAUAGAACAUGUGAAUAAUGUGUUUCAGUUACAUUGAAAAAAAGCUAUUGUUAGUUAUUUUAA
rnacentral:tRNA from 1 species